rnacentral:rRNA from 1 species
UACAGAGGUCUCAAGCGUUGUUCGGAUUCAUUGGGCGUAAAGGGUGUGUAGGUGGCGCUGUAAGUCGGGUGUGAAAUCUCGGGGCUUAACUCCGAAACUGCAUUCGAUACUGCGGUGCUUGAGGACUGGAGAGGAGACUGGAAUUCAUGGUGUAGCAGUGAAAUGCGUAGAGAUCUGGAGGAACACCGGUGGCGAAGGCGGCAUCCUGGACCAACACUGACGCUGAGGAGCGAAAGCCAGGGGAGCAAACGGG